rnacentral:lncRNA from 1 species
UCUGAGCUCUUCGUUCAAAAUUCCCGCAGAUGGGCCCGUGGAUGGCGCCUGUGCCUGAUUCACGUAGUACAAACAUAGCAGCAAAGUGAGAAGGACCGCGCAAACGACGAAAACGCGGCUUGAACCGCGUCGAAGGAUCUUGUACAUGGUACGAAAGUUGGAUUCGCUUCGGGGCAGGCGUUCCUCGAUUUCGAUUCACCUGGUGCCGCGAUAUUGGCUCGAUCCCGUGUCGGUUAUGCUCAACAAUCGCUCCCCGACUUUGCCGCUGUCGCCUGUCGACUUCAUGAGAUACUUUGGCGCCGACACGAUCUGAAAGAAGAAAAGUUAAACGAAAUUAAUAGACUUUGAAUACGUAAAAAAUAUCGAUUACAGACGAUUUAUCGGACACGUUCGCCCCGAUAUAUUAUUGCGAAUAUCGAGACUCGAAAAGCGAGAUCGAAAUAGUAUCGAAUAAAAGAAGAGGACGAGAGGUACGAUUAAAAAAAGAGUGAACCAUUCAGAUGACCAGAACACCAUUUGAAAAAUUCGAAGAAUGAAAAUUAUUGUUGGGAAGAUAGAGAAGGAUUGGAGAAGUCGUAAAAAUUUGAAGAACACGUGUAUCCAAAUUGAAAUGAGCGAGAGGAAAUUGAGGACGAGGAAGGAGCGAUCCAAUUCCGAUGAGAACAAUAAAUACGACCUGGUGAACCAGAGACACGGUUUCCCAGAAACCUUCUGUCUCUCGACGUAAGGUCGGUUCGCACGCGAUAAUCGAUCGUACCUGUCACCACCGACCCUGGCUGAAGAACGAGCCGCGAUUUACACAUUGAAAACUUGAAUAUCGAUUUACCUUUCGUUUCAGUUAUAUUGAAAUUGCAAUCGUUAGAAGACGGAUAAUGACAGAUAAAUAAAUUCGCGAUCCAUUUUCUUCUCAUAUUUUCGUACAUCUAUUUUUUUCUUUUAUAAAUCUAAUAAUUACUUAGCAAACGAAUACAUUAUUAUUGUAUUAAAUUGA